UUUUCAUUGGCUGCUGAAAGGAUGCAUGGUGCUUUCAAACUCCCAUCAUCCUAUGCGCCUGUAUGCAGCUUCCUUUUAGCAUCCAUAUUGCACAUUUCUCACUUCGAAAAAGAAAAAGCUAUAGUUUGUCAACAUUUUGAUAACAUAUCUGAAUAGAAAUUGAGAGUCUUUGUACAUAUAUAUAUUCUUAAUUACACGCCAUCGUCUUUUGGAGACGAACUAGCAAGAAAACUACGACGAUAGCGUAUUUUUGUGUCUGAAUAUUUUUGUACCAAACCAAACUUAUUUCUUUAAAUUUUAGAUUUGUAUAUAUUUGUAAAUUAUAUAAUUGUUGUACAUAAAAAGAG
rnacentral:lncRNA from 1 species